CAAGGGAUAACUCAAUAGUUAAGUACCAUCGCUGUGUAAUAUUUGGACUGAAGUCAUUGUAUUUUGUAUCUUGUUCUUAAUUUUACUGUAAUUCUUGAUAUGUAUUUUUUGUAUACAACUGUAAGUCUCCCUGGGUAAGGGUGUCUGCUAAGAAAUAAAUAAUAAUAAUUCAGUGCAAGUUAUGACAUUGCCCCACAUGUUUCAAUGACGUCAGACUUGGAAAUUGCAGUUCUUCACAAGUAAGCCUUAGAUUUGCAAAGAGUGCCAGGGCAGGGACAGUGAAAUCGCUUCCCUUUUCUUUCUUUUUUUUCACAGUAACAGCCAGCCAGUACAUCUGUACAGCAGGGAGCGCAUUGUGGAAACUACCUGACUUCAUAGCUCACCAGAAACAGAGUGAGGGCUUCCUCAUAUCUCUGUGUGCCUCCGUCACCAGGCGGCUACCGGCAGGGGAGCACAGGAAUGAGGCUGUCUUCCCAAAAUAACCAGGCAGAGGGGAAUACCAGCUGAUAGCUUUGGAAUAAAGCUUCCAUCUCUGCACUCCAUUCUGGUCUGUCUGUGUCUCUCUCUCUCUCACUGUCUCCCUUGCUCUCCCUUGUCUUCCUCAAGCUGAAGUAAGAAGACUAUAUGGGAUCUGUGGCUCAGUUUGUUGUGAACAAAAAUUGUGAGUCAGUCAUGAAUGGGGUAUUUGAAUGGGGUAUUUUUAGGCUUUGGUUGGCAGUGCGGUGUAAUAAAAGGAGGUGUGGUUAAGCUUGAGUCCUAGGUGUGGUUGGCUGUGCACUGUAUAAAGUUCUGAUUAAAUGUCUCCGGUUCAGUACAGCGCUCUGUAGUCCUGACAGGUUAGCUAAGCCGACUCGGUGGUGCUGGCUUGUGGCACUGUUGAAGUUUUGUCAUUUUGCUUUGGACUGCACAUUAAAAGUUUUGGGAGAAAGGCAGGUGGAUUUGCACAUAUUGCACAGUGCCACUCACUGGGAACUUGUUUCUGCUCAUGUACAUGCUGCAAGUGAGUGUCUCGUGUUAAGUUGCAGUUCUGUGGCGUUUUAAAUAGGUGCUAGUUAUGGUCACGCCAAACUCUGGCUUAAAGUGAAUUUCAGUGGCGGUGUCUCGUGACACAGCCUUGUUAUUGCUUCCAGACAGAAUGCAAACAGGUAGGACCGCAGAACACAGAAGCAGAAGACACCCACAACUCACAGACACCAGCUGUAACCAGGCAUUGAGUAUGAGAGUAUGCUUCCAGUUUGUAUAGGACAGGGUGUUGUACAACGCCAAGGAACAAACCAUAUCAAACCAGAAAGAGGAGGCUUCGAAAACGUCUCAAACAAAACAACACAAGAACAGCAUCGUUAAGUUCAGCCUCAAAUUCUUGAAGCUGUACAGCACUCUUCUCUGCUCCUAAUGUCCAGGACUCCUUAGUAACGGAGAGUCAAAUAAGCCUGUCUUCUUGGUAAGCAGCGUCUUUUUUUUCGGGUCCCGGUUCAGUGCGAUAAGGAGCAGAGGAGGCUUGCAGGAAGGGAAACCCCCCCUCGGAGAUGCCAGCUGUGGGUGAUUCUGUGGCAGUGUCUUAGCUGGUUGUUGUGAACAGUUUGAAUAAAGCAAUCAGCAAGUAUACUGCUGCAGAAAUGCUUCACCAAGUGGCUGUGCUCUCCACAGCUCUGCACGUGGAAGUCUGCGUAAAGGCUUGAUCUCAUUUCUCCUGCAAAAUCAGAUUACAGAAACCCACACUCCUGCUUUUAAAAACAUUAGGACUGUCUGUAUGGUCAUUUUUAUAUGACAGCAGCACUUUACAGUACAUAAAGUUAAUGGAAUAUUAUUGAUGAAAAUAAUGCUGAUAGUAAUGAUGCCACCUUUUAAUAAUUAUUAGUAUUAUUAUUGAUUGUAAGAAUAAUACAUAUUCAGUAUUCUGUUUAAAUUAAAAUGUUACUAACAAUAAAAUCCUUUUUUGCAUCAGUUUUAUA